rnacentral:rRNA from 1 species
GAGCCCAACCUCCCACCCGUGUUUACUGUACCUUAGUUGCUUCGGCGGGCCCGCCAUUCAUGGCCGCGGGGGGCUCUCAGCCCCGGGCCCGCGCCCGCCGGAGACACCACGAACUCUGUCUGAUCUAGUGAAGUCUGAGUUGAUUGUAUCGCAAUCAGUUAAAACUUUCAACAAUGGAUCUCUUGGUUCCGGCAUCGAUGAAGAACGCAGCGAAAUGCGAUAACUAGUGUGAAUUGCAGAAUUCCGUGAAUCAUCGAGUCUUUGAACGCACAUUGCGCCCCCUGGUAUUCCGGGGGGCAUGCCUGUCCGAGCGUCAUUGCUGCCCAUCAAGCACGGCUUGUGUGUUGGGUCGUCGUCCCCUCUCCGGGGGGGACGGGCCCCAAAGGCAGCGGCGGCACCGCGUCCGAUCCUCGAGCGUAUGGGGCUUUGUCACCCGCUCUGUAGGCCCGGCCGGCGCUUGCCGAACGCAAAUCAAUCUUUUCCAGGUUGACCUCGGAUCAGGUAGGGAUACCCGCUGAACUUAAGCAUAUCAAUAAGCGGAGGAAA